rnacentral:rRNA from 1 species
UACGGGGGGGAGCAAGCGUUGUUCGGAUUUACUGGGCGUAAAGGGCGCGUAGGCGGCGUGACAAGUCACUUGUGAAAUCUCCGGGCUUAACCCGGAGCGGCCAAGUGAUACUGUCGUGCUAGAGUGCGGAAGGGGCUACUGGAAUUCUCGGUGUAGGCGGUGAAAUGCGUAGAUAUCGAGAGGAACACCUGCGGCGAAGGCGGGUAGCUGGGCCGAGCACGUGACGCUGAGGCGCGAAGCCAGGGAGCGAACGGG